rnacentral:rRNA from 1 species
GGUCUCCGUAGGUGAACCUGCGGAAGGAUCAUUACCUAGAGUUUGUAGACUUCGGUCUGCUACCUCUUACCCAUGUCUUUUGAGUACCUUCGUUUCCUCGGCGGGUCCGCCCGCCGAUUGGACAACAUUCAAACCCUUUGCAGUUGCAAUCAGCGUCUGAAAAAACAUAAUAGUUACAACUUUCAACAACGGAUCUCUUGGUUCUGGCAUCGAUGAAGAACGCAGCGAAAUGCGAUAAGUAGUGUGAAUUGCAGAAUUCAGUGAAUCAUCGAAUCUUUGAACGCACAUUGCGCCCCUUGGUAUUCCAUGGGGCAUGCCUGUUCGAGCGUCAUUUGUACCUUCAAGCUCUGCUUGGUGUUGGGUGUUUGUCUCGCCUCUGCGUGUAGACUCGCCUUAAAACAAUUGGCAGCCGGCGUAUUGAUUUCGGAGCGCAGUACAUCUCGCGCUUUGCACUCAUAACGACGACGUCCAAAAGUACAUUUUUACACUCUUGACCUCGGAUCAGGUAGGGAUACCCGCUGAACUUA